GGCUAUACCUUGCUACGUCACCUUCUGUACCGGUACGGCUGGGGAGGGGAGACUCCCAGUCUGGUUCUUGCAUAACCGUAAGGUAAUGUGGUCCGUAUGGGAGUGAGAAUGUUGGCAUGGGUAGCGAGAUGUGGGUGGGAAUCCCACAGGCCGUAAACCCAAGGUUUCCAGGGGAAGGUUCGUCCGCCCUGGGUUAGUCGGGACCUAAGCUGAGGCCGAAAGGCGUAGGUGAUGGACAACAGGUUGAUAUUCCUGUACUACCGAU
rnacentral:rRNA from 1 species